rnacentral:rRNA from 1 species
CCUACGGGUGACUGCAGUGGGGAAUAUUGGACAAUGGGGGGAACCCUGAUCCAGCCAUGCCGCGUGUGUGAAGAAGGCCCUCGGGUUGUAAAGCACUUUCAGUGAGGAAGAACGCCUGGUGGUUAAUACCCAUCAGGAAAGACAUCACUCACAGAAGAAGCACCGGCUAACUCCGUGCCAGCAGCCGCGGUAAUACGGAGGGUGCGAGCGUUAAUCGGAAUUACUGGGCGUAAAGCGCGCGUAGGUGGCUUGAUAAGCCGGUUGUGAAAGCCCCGGGCUCAACCUGGGAACGGCAUCCGGAACUGUCAAGCUAGAGUGCAGGAGAGGAAGGUAGAAUUCCCGGUGUAGCGGUGAAAUGCGUAGAGAUCGGGAGGAAUACCAGUGGCGAAGGCGGCCUUCUGGACUGACACUGACACUGAGGUGCGAAAGCGUGGGUAGCAAACAGGAUUAGAUACCCCAGUAGUC